ACCCACAAAAAAAAUACCAUGAACUGUACUGGAUCAUUACUUCCAAGUCACACAAACUAGUCUGCUAAUCGUUGGAAAUGAUUCUAGUCUGUUAAUGUAUGACUGAGCUAAUAGUAGUAAUCUGUAAUAUUAUAGAAUAAACAACAACAGGGAUUGUUGUUGUUUAUUAUAUAAUAUUACAGUACUAUUGUUGUUUGUGUAUUAUAUAUUAUUUACAGUUUCACCUACUAUUAUAUAUUAUCUACAGUUUCACCUACUAAUACACCGCCAGGCACUUCUGCACUCACACCUGAAGAUGCCAUCUCAACAACUCCACCACUAACCAGCAGUCAGCUACCAACAUCCAGCACAUACCAUGAAACACCUGAGGAGCCCUCGGCUGUUAUGGAGAAGCCAAAAGAGAUCACUACACCGCCAGGCACUUCGGCACUCACACCUGAAGAUGCCAUCUCAACAACUCCACCACUAACCAGCAGUCAGCUACCAACAUCCAACACAGACCAUGAAACACCUGAGGAGCCCUCGCCUGUUACGGAGAAGCCAAAAGAUCCCACCAGAGUCAUCAUGAGAGUGAGAGGCUUCCUGCACACAAACACGGGAGAGGAGGCAGUACUGGAGGCCUUAAGGAAACUGGUCUCUCUUCUAGAGAACAAACUGAAGGAUCACUGUACUGACUGCACAGUACAGAUUCUGAAGCACAACAUGACCACAAAUUAUCCUUAAAUGAUCCCUGUUAUAAACAUGGUGUGAAGAGACUGUAACACACAAUGCACAUUAAUAAACAGUACCGACGGUAAGGAAGUUUGAUUAUU
rnacentral:lncRNA from 1 species